GAUGAAGAACGCAGCGAAAUGCGAUACUUGGUGUGAAUUGCAGAAUCCCGUGAACCAUCGAGUCUUUGAACGCAAGUUGCGCCCGAAGCCACUAGGCCGAGAGCACGCCUGCCUGGGCGUCACACGUCGUUGCCCCCCCCCCAUCUACUCCUUCGGGAUUGCGGGGGGCGGAUGAUGGCCUCCCGUGCGCCUAGCCGCGCGGUUGGCAUAAAUACCAAGUCCUCGGCGACGCACGCCACGACAAUCGGUGGUUGCGAACCCUCGGUUGCCCGUCGUGUGCGUUCGUCGCGCAUCGAGGGCUCGAAAAAAUGCUCGGCUCCGGCUCGGCUUUCAACGCGACCCCAGGUCAGGCGGGGUUACCCGCUGAAUUUAAGCAUAUCAAUAAGCGGAGGA
rnacentral:misc_RNA from 1 species